CUCCAUGGCGGGCCGGGCGAGGCAGCCAACAGGCUGACCGGGAUUGGGGUAAGUGCCCGGUUUCCACCCUCGUCGUCAGGCCCGCCGCCCUC
rnacentral:antisense_RNA from 1 species